rnacentral:rRNA from 1 species
AUACGGAGGGUGCAAGCGUUGUUCGGAAUCACUGGGCGUAAAGGGCGCGCAGGCGGUUUGGUAAGUCAGAUGUGAAAGCCCACGGCUCAACCGUGGAAGUGCAUUUGAAACUGCCAGACUUGAGUACCGGAGGGGAAAGUGGAAUUCCCGGUGUAGAGGUGAAAUUCGUAGAUAUCGGGAGGAAUACCGGUGGCGAAGGCGACUUUCUGGCUGGAUACUGACGCUGAGGCGCGAAAGCGUGGGGAGCAAACAGGAUUAGAAACCCGUGUAGUCC